rnacentral:rRNA from 1 species
UACGGAGGGAGCUAGCGUUAUUCGGAAUUACUGGGCGUAAAGCGCACGUAGGCGGCUUUGUAAGUUAGAGGUGAAAGCCUGGAGCUCAACUCCAGAAUUGCCUUUAAGACUGCAUCGCUUGAAUCCAGGAGAGGUGAGUGGAAUUCCGAGUGUAGAGGUGAAAUUCGUAGAUAUUCGGAAGAACACCAGUGGCGAAGGGCGGCUCACUGGACUGGUAUUGA